GGUUGACCUCGGAUCAGGUAGGGAUACCCGCUGAACUUAAGCAUAUCAAUAAGCGGAGGAAAAGAAACCAACAGGGAUUGCCCCAGUAACGGCGAGUGAAGCGGCAAGAGCUCAAAUUUGAAAGCUGGCUCCUUCGGGGUCCGCAUUGUAAUUUGUAGAGGAUGCUUUCGGGAGCGUCCCCAUCUAAG
rnacentral:rRNA from 1 species